CCUACGGGGGGCAGCAGUGAGGAAUAUUGGUCAAUGGGCGGAAGCCUGAACCAGCCAAGUAGCGUGCGGGAUGAAGGCCCUACGGGUCGUAAACCGCUUUUGCCCGGGGAUAACACCCUCCACUUGUGGAGGUCUGCAGGUACCGUGCGAAUAAGGGCCGGCUAAUUCCGUGCCAGCAGCCGCGGUAAUACGGAAGGCCCGAGCGUUAUCCGGUUUUAUUGGGCUUAAAGGGAGCGUAGGCGGGCGUUCAAGUCAGCGGUAAAAUCGCGCGGCUCAACCGCGCUCCGCAGUUGAAACUGGACGCGUGGAGUUGACAACAGGCAGGCGGAAUUCGUGGUGUAGCGGUGAAAUGCAUAGAUAUCACGAGGAACCCCGAUUGCGAAGGCAGCAUGCCGGGGUGCGACUGACGCUGAGGCUCGAAGGUGCGGGUAUCAAACAGGAUUAGAUACCCUUGUAGUC
rnacentral:rRNA from 1 species